rnacentral:rRNA from 1 species
UACAGAGGUCCCGAGCGUUGUUCGGAUUCAUUGGGCGUAAAGGGUGCGUAGGCGGCGGGGCAAGUCUGAUGUGAAAUCCCGGGGCUCAACCCCGGAACUGCAUUGGAUACUGCCUUGCUAGAGUACUGGAGAGGGAACUGGAAUUUACGGUGUAGCAGUGAAAUGCGUAGAGAUCGUAAGGAAGGCCAGUGGCGAAGGCGGCCAACUGGACGAGUACUGACGCUGAGACACGAAAGCGUGGGGAGCAAACAGG